GUCACAGGAAGGAUCGAGGCUCAUGAGAGUUGAAGUCAUAGGAAGGAGGUUCAUGUUUAAGUCACAGGAAGGAUCGAGGCUCAUGAGAGUUGAAGUCAUAGGAAGGAGGUUCAUGUUUAAGUCACAGGAAGGAUCGAGGCUCAUGAGAGUUGAAGUCAUAGGAAGGAGGUUCAUGUUUAAGUCACAGGAAGGAUCGAGGCUCAUGAGAGUUGAAGUCAUAGGAAGGAGGUUCAUGUUUAAGUCACAGGAAGGAUCGAGGCUCAUGAGAGUUGAAGUCAUAGGAAGGAGGUUCAUGUUUAAGUCACAGGAAGGAUCGAGGCUCAUGAGAGUUGAAGUCAUAGGAAGGAGGAAAUACAAAGGAAAGAAGCUGUUUUUUAGAGAGUAGGCCAUUGGUAACGAUAAACACAAAGAAAAUGACUGUGAAAGUGUCCCAAAGUCACCAUUAAGAUCGAGAUACAAACAAUACAACAUACUAGACUGAUUGAUUGAUAGUUUAUUGUUGAAAGUAACUCAUUAUCUAGUUCUUAAAACCAUCAGAAUAACC